rnacentral:rRNA from 1 species
UACGGGGGGGGGCAAGCGUUGUUCGGAAUUACUGGGCGUAAAGGGCUCGUAGGCGGCCAACUAAGUCGGACGUGAAAUCCCCAGGCUCAACCUGGGAACUGCGUCCGAUACUGGAUGGCUUGAAUUCGGGGAGAGGGAUGCAGAAUUCCAGGUGUAGCGGUGAAAUGCGUAGAUAUCUGGAGGAAUACCGGUGGCGAAGGCGGCAUCCUGGACCGACAUUGACGCUGAGGAGCGAAAGCUAGGGGAGCAAACGGG